AGUCUGGUGCCAGCAGCCGCGGUAAUUCCAGCUCCAAUAGCGUAUAUUAAAGUUGUUGCAGUUAAAAAGCUCGUAGUUGGAUCUCAGGAUUUGGAUGGAUGGUUCGCUUUCGGGCGCUACUAUCUGUCUGACCUACUCUAGUCGUGGAUGCCUUGGGUGCUCUUAAUUGAGUGCUUUUGGUGCCCGACGCAAUUACUUUGAAAAAAUUAGAGUGCUCAAAGCAGGCGUAUUGCCUGAAUAGUGUUGCAUGGAAUAAUGAAAUAGGAGUUUACUUCUAUUUUGUUGGUUUUCGGAGGUGAACUAAUGAUUAACAGGGACAGACGGGGGCAUUUGUAUGGAGGGGUUAGAGGUGAAAUUCUUGAAUCCUCUCCAGACAAACUACUGCGAAAGCAUUCGCCAGGAAUGUUUUCACUAAUCAAGAACGAAAGUCAGAGGUUCGAAGACGAUCAGAUACCGUCCUAGUUCUGACCAUAAAUGAUGCCAUCUAACAAUCCACGAAGUUUGCUUGUACGAACUCGUGGGCGGUCCCCGGGAAACCAAAGAUUUUGGGUUCCGGGGGAAGUAUGGUUGCAAAGCUGAAACUUAAAGGAAUUGACGGAAGGGCACCACCAGGAGUGGAGCCUGCGGCUUAAUUUGACCCAACACGGGAAACCUCACCCGGCCCGGACACUUUUAGGAUUGACAGAUUGAAGGCUCUUUCUUGAUCAAGUGGUUGGUGGUGCAUGGCCGUUCUUAGUUGGUGGAGCGAUUUGUCUGGUUAAUUCCGAUAACGAACGAGACUCUACUCUGCUAAAUAGAACGUUGAUAUAUAAAAGUCAGUGCUGACUUCUUAGAGAGACUAACGGCGUUUAGCCGUGUGAGAAAGAGCAAUAACAGGUCUGUGAUGCCCUUAGAUGUCCGGGGCCGCACGCGCGCUACACUGACUGCAGCAACUAGUAUGCUCCUGGUUUGAAAAAAACUGGGUAACCUGGUUGAAUUGCAGGCGUGACAGGGAUCAGAGUUUGCAAUUAUCCUCUGUGAACGAGGAAUUCCCAGUAAGCGCAAGUCAUUAGCUUGUGCUGAUUACGUCCCUGCCCUUUGUACACACCGCCCGUCGCUACUACCGAUUGAAUGGUUUAGUGAGGUCUUCGGAUUGGUGCUGAUGGAGUGGUUCUCUGCUCUGUUAGUGCCGAGAAGAUGAUCAAACUUGAUCAUUUAGAGGAAGUAAAAGUCGUAACAAGGU
rnacentral:rRNA from 1 species